CCCUGACACACUGGCUGAGGUGCCCCAGUUCCCCGAGACUGGCCGGGAUCACUUCCGGUGGGGAAAGUCCCUCCUCUCCGGGGCCAGCCGGGCGGCUCUGGGGCCGCGCCCUGUCGAGUGAGGCGGCAGGGGACGGUCUCGGUUCGGGGCCGCGGCCUUGGCAAAGGGCCUCUCAGAGAACCUCCGGCGGCCUUCCCUUUCCCGCCCGCAACCCCGGCUGCUGACUGUCGCAUCCCGAAGGCACCAAACCCCUUGGCGUCUCCGCGGCUCGCAGUCGGAGGACUCGCGCCGCCGGCUGGCGAGUGCUGGACGGCGGGUUACCCUCCGGCCCCCAGGAGAGCACCCAACAUCCCGGCUCGAGAAGGCGCAAGGAAAAUAAAGCGGCCAAGAAAGUUCAUUCUCCUUGCUCGUGUUUCGAACACUUGAUGUUUCUCUAGAAACGCGUGCGAACUACCCUUCGACUUCACUACCGCUCUUAAUCCGUUUGUGAUGGGUCUUACUUGGCCAUGCCUGACAAAUAAUUAAAUGCAGUACUUUUAUCAACUGGCAAAUCGGCUUGACUCCACCAGCAAAUGCCAAAGUCACUCCUUCCCUUCUUAUCACAAGGCUCAAAAACAACAGGAAUAGAAACACUUUAUCUGACGAUAACUCAGCUUUGCCAUAUUUGAUUCUAACCACUACACGGCGGGAAAGGAACUUGGGCACCUCUGCAUCCCACAGCUUCCUUUGUCUCAAGAGGACUUCCAGGGGGAUUGGAGAGCUCUUGACAGCUGAGCAGCAUCUACAGGAGAGAGAGGAUUGAGCACAAACAGGGGGAGCAACAGAUGGAGAGGGAGAAGCAGGCACCCUGCUGAGCAGGGAGCCCAACGUGGGACUCCAUCCCAGGACUCUGGAAUCAUGAUCUGAGCCAAAGGCAGACGCUUCACUGACUGAGCCCUCCAGGAGCCCGAAGUAGACAAUAUUCUAAUGCGGUGUGGUAAAUCCAAUGACAGUUAUAUGCGGAAGGGGCAUCUCCCCAGGAUGCAGAGAAUAGAGGACAAAAGUAGCAGUUGUGCCUGCAUGUCUGCCACUUCUGGGCCACUUUUCCUGAAUGGUCUGAGUGCCCCUCAGGCCCCACAGUCUCAUCCCAAUGACUCUUGAGGUCCUCUAGCUUCUUUAGGAUCUACAAUAUCUCUGACGGUGUUCAGCAGAAGGAAAAUUGCUUAUCACAGUGGUCUCUACCGUUGGCUGGUGCUCGGUUUAUGGUGAACACUCGCUGGAGAUUCAGUGAGGUCUGAAUGCCUCAUUGAUUAAAGUGCCUACCUGUUACCCCGGAUUGUGACCUUCGAAUGUCGGGAUUCACGACCACAGCAACUAUGCAGGAAGCAGUGCCACGGAAGCGUGCAGUUUGCAUUCCUACACAGAGCUGUUAGGUGAAAAGACAGGGGAGGAGAGUCACAAAAUGCGAAGACAGAGAUACAUUUCACCAACUUGCAGAAGUCUGUUCUAAUCAUAUGCAUAUGAUGCUCCUGUUAGGAUCAGGUGGAAAUGUUUUUACUUCCUACAGGGGACAGCCAAUCCCUCAAUAGCAGAGGCCUCGCCUCAUAACCAGGGUUCACCCCCUGCCUCUGUCUUUGACUGCUACUACUAUGUGGUUGUUAUUCUGACCUUCUGUUUUAUCUCAAUAAACCUGUUUGGCCCUUU